UGUUAAAUUUUUUUCUGAAAAUCUUAUACCUGCAAGCCUCCUUAAAUCCAAAAAUGACAAAAUUGCAAUAAUAAAUGCAUGCAAAAAUUUCUGAAUUUAAAGUAUUUAACAGUGUAAUUCUUUUACAUUAUAUUGAGAUUUGAACUCUAUUUCACUCAUAUGAUUUGACAUUACUUGUAGUUGUGAGUUUGCUUAUCAGUAUAUCUAUGUAGCCUUUGUUAAGCUUUUUUUAGUAAAGCUUGCACUAUUGCACUAUGUUAGAUAUUCUUAAGAUUUUAACCAUGCUCAAGUCAUGCAAUAUCAUGCAUGAAUGUUUGAUUUCAUGGUGUUUUAAAAGUUUUCAUACAAGCCUAUACACAAUUUAUACUUUGUUGAACAUUAUAAUUUGUGUGUAUUUAUCAUUACCAAUUAUGGUAAACAGGCUAUUACUUCAAGUUGGAAUUAUUUUUAUUUAUGGAAGUUGCAUAAUUUCCUGUGCUUGAAAUUUUAAAUGAAUUCUAUGUUUAUUCUGUAUUGAAAUGUUUUGAGCGGCUCUUAACACUUCCCAUACAAUGUAUUUUGUAUAGAUAGUGUUGUGCGCUGCACAGAACAUAAAAUAUAGAAAAAACAUGAAAUUUACUAAAAAAAUUCAAGCACAAGAAAUUAUGAAAAUUCCAAUAUUAAAACAAAUGAUUCCAAGUAGAAAUAGUAGCCUGUUUUAUGUGGUUCAUAAUUACCUAUUUAAUCCAGGAAAAUUGGUAUCCCACAAAUAAUAAUGAACACACAGUAUUUGAGACUUAUUUUGAUAGCUUUUGUUUUUUAAUUAUAUUUGAAUCAUGUGUUUACUAUGAUUGAGAACAAGUUUGAUUAGCUGAGAGUUUUUUUGAUUAUGCUAUACCAAACAUUAUUUAUUUGAUAAAAG
rnacentral:lncRNA from 1 species